rnacentral:lncRNA from 1 species
UUGCUCUGAGCUGCUGCCACCUGCUGGGCUGGAGCUGGAGCUGGAGCUGCGAAUUCGGAGUCCCGGUUCCCUGUGCCACCUGGCGAGCUCAGCAAACUAAAAGUCUCUUUGUCUUCAUCGUUUCCGGCACUGAUGUGAGCACAUCAUAAGCACAAGACCUGGACACCUUUACAAUCAGAGGGCCUAGGACUGGAGCUCUGGAUCUGACCGGAGCAAAGAGGAAGCACGCAAAUCCGGACAUGACGACGAGGAGGCAGUAGAGACCCAUCCUCAACUGUAAGUAACUGCCUUCGGCAGGGAAGGGGCUAACCCACGUUGUGUGGGCUCAGGCACGGCCGCGUCUGGUUCUGUGCAGGAACACAGGCAGAGGCAAGCCCUGGGUCCGCAUCAUGGCUCUGCCCUCACUCAGAUUGCCUUGUACAUGUAGGUUCUUGUCCUAGAGCCUCUUUCCCUACUUCUAAAUGAGUGGAAAGCCACCCACAAGCCCGUGAGUGAGGAUGCCCUUGGUAAACCCAGGUGAUCACACCCUGGGCAGGCCCUGCCCCACAGGGCCCCAUCCCGCUGCUCCCCAGCCUGUCCUCACCAACUGCCCAGGCAGGAGCAAAGCCCACGGGGAGGACCUGUGACCACAGGCAAGGACCACGGACCCCAGCCCCAGGGAUUUUGACCUCAAGAAAGGAAACAUCCACAAUUUACCCUCCAUCUGGUGAUCCAGCUGCAUCUGGGGUGGGUUUGGUCUCUGCUGGGACCAUGAGGUUCAGACCACCAAGAAAUAGCACU